rnacentral:lncRNA from 1 species
CUCUCCCUCUCCCUCCCGGCCUCUGCUAAAUCAAACAAUGGAGGACCCCCACCUCUCCGUCUCCCUCUCCCUCUCCCUCCCAGCCUCUGCUAAAUCAAAUAACGGAGAAGGAGUACAUACCUUGAAACGCCGACGCCGGGCGAACGGAGAGGCGACGGGCGAACUGGCGAACGGAGAGGCGACGGGCGAACGGAGGCGACGAGCGAAGGCGAUGGGUGAAGGCGACGGGUGAAGGCAGAGUUAAAGCUUUACCAAAUAAAAAAAAAAAGAAGUAAAAGCAGAAUGGAGGAAUAGGGAAUUAGGGUUUGUUUGGGUACCAAAAAAAAAAAAGCAGAAUUCACCUAUAUGUAUACUUUUCGCGACUAAAUUUUUUUUAGUCGCUGGAGGGGAACCUUUAGGGACCAAAAUGUAGUCGCCAAAAAUUUUACCUCCAGCCCGCCAAUUUGGUUUUGUUUUUCCGUGACUAAAUAUGCAUUUAGUCGGUGUAGGAUAAUUAUUCCGUAACUAACAAGAAUGUUGGUCGCAGAUAGCCUUAUUUUCAGCGACCAAACUUUAGUCGCCAAACGUUUUACCUUCACCUCGCCAACUUGGUUUUGAUUUUCCGCGACCAAAUAUGCAUUUAGUCGGUGUAGGACAAUCAUUCAGUAACUAACAAGGAUGUUGGUCGCAAAUAGCCUUGUUUGCAGUGACCACUAUUCAUUUAGUCGCCGAAAGUGGUCACUGAAAGUGUAUUUUCUUGUAGUGGCUCUAGGGAUCAUUCGGAAGAAAAGAAAUAAAAUAAAAUUUUUCUUCUUCUCAUAAUUUUUCUAAGUUUCUUUUGAGGUAUCUGCAAGCGUAAACGUGCUCUUCUUUCUUCCCUGAAGGCGCACUGACGGGGAAGACGUGGUUCUAUAUUGGGUCGUCGUAUCUCUAGGAGAUCUGUAUCAGCAGACCCAUGCGUGGGGGGCAUAAACUUUUCUGGGACAACGCAUCAGCGUGCUUCGAUCUACAAGCCAUCUUCUCUCUCUUUCUUCUUUUUUUAUUAUUAUAUUGUCAAGCAAAUUAUUUGCUAGUUUAUUCUUCUUAAUUAUUGUUUUUGAAUAUUAGAAAUAUUUAAUUUAUCAAUUAUAUUUGUGCAUCUAGGCUAACAGUUGUGAUCCUUAAGAUGGAUGUUUGUAUGAGGGUGUAAUGUUCUAUUGUGGCUGUAGUAUCUAUGUAGUGGCAUAAAGUUAAUUCAUGGAUAUCUCUUGUUAUAAAGGUAGUUAGAUAUGUUAUAAAGUUUCCAACUCAUCACUUUCCAUGCAUGAGUUACAUAGAUAUGUUAGAUACACGAGUAAGCUGGCAACCACCAGACGUACUUCUUGUUGAAGACAAUGUUCAGGACCUUCUUAUCUAUUUAUUUUCAAGGCAUUUAUUUCAGAAUUUCUCAGUUUUACUGAAUCACGUCAACAAUCAAACCACAUAUGUGCUUGUUUUUUUGAAGUUCAUGGACCAGCCAUCUAAGAUGAUCAUACCCCAUGGAUGUUUUCUUGAUUAUAGAUAAUGUUUGAGGUGGGAUUCGAGGUGGAGACGGCCUUUUCCUUCCUACUGCUUCUUUCAUAGACCAAAAAACGACGUAAGAACAUGAAAAUGAGAAUUAAAAAAUAUAUAACUUCUUUCUUUAAUUGCAUACGACGUAAGAACACGCCCAACCCAAUAUUUAUGGGUUGUGCGCCGGCCCGAAGAGGCCAAGCCCAGCCCGACCAUGCACAGUGGCAUGAUGCAGGUGGAGAAAAAGAUUCCGAUUCCUCCUCCGAUUCUAUGAGAGUCGGAGACCUCUCAAGAGCAAUCCGAGUUUAACUCGAACUUUAGGAUCUCGACUACUUAAUUUUCCUCCUUUUUUUGAUUUCCUCCACCAAAAAGGAGUAUCUACGUAGUGGCAUAAAAUUCAUGGAUAUCUCUAGUUAUAAAGAUAGGUUAGAUAUGGUAUGAAGUUUCCCACUCAUCACUUUCCAAGCAUGAGUUAUAUAGAUAUGUUAGAUACACAAGUAAGCCGGCAACCACUAGAUGUACCUCUUGUUGAAGACAAUGUUCAAGACCUGCUUAUCUAUUUAUUUUCAAGGCAUUUAUUUCAGAAUUUCUCCUUCCCUCCAUCGUUUAUAUAUUGUGUAACUUAAAUCUAGUGUAGUUAAGAGAUAAUUAACAGAGAAAGACAGAAUAAGAACAAAUAGAAGAGGAGGAGGAAGAAGAUGAAGAGGAGGGAAGGUGGAAAACCUACCUGUGGUCGACUUUGAUCACGACACCAGUUUGAUCGGUCGAUGAUCAUGGUCGAUCCAUACCGCUGACUUUCUUCUUCCACCGAUCACUUUCUCCUUUAUCAAUCAAACCCCAAAGAUCCUAAACCCUUCCUCCUCAUAAUUUAUUCUUUGUUGAUCUAACUUAGAAAUUAAAUCAAAACGAGAAGGAAGAAAAUGAAGAAGAAAAGGAAGAAAAAUAGGAAGAAGAAGAAUACAAAGGAAAAAAAAAAAGAAGAAAAGGCCUGUCAGUGGAUGAUCUGCAGCCGCCACCGCCGUCGCCGCGAAGCGUCGGCCGGAGAGCUAGUCAAGGUCUUCGGCCGCGGACGCUGCAGGCCUCGGCCGGAACCGUCGCCUCCCUUGUACCGAGAGAGAGAGGGGGGGAGAGAGAAAGGAGAAGAAAUGAGGAAGAGAGAAGACCGGGAGAAGAAGAAAGGAAAAGAAAGAGGAAGAGGGAAGCUUCAGGAAGGAACGGAGAAGGAAAGAAAAGAAAAAGAGAGGAAAAGAAAAGAAAAAGAAAAGGAAGGAAAAGAAAAGAAAGAAAAGAAAAGAAAAGAAAAAGAAGAAAAAGAAGAAAAAGAAAAGAAGAAGAAAGAAAAAAAAUGCUGUGGGCCUGAGAUGGGCCUGAUUCCGGAGGUGGCUUCAAACAAAUUGAGCUUUAAAGGCCUGAAGUCGGGCUGUGCUCUGGUCCAAGCCCAGUAUUCUUAAACCCAAAAUUAAUCGGGCCUGAAGAGCACAAAUUUUAAUAGGACUAAAUUGAAUAUAGUUUGAGGCUAGGUUCCUUUAAAUUAACUAGAAUUAAUAGGGUUUAAUUAUAAUUAACUAAGUAUGUUACUAGGCUUGAAUACAAGUGGGCUCAGUAACUGAAUCAGGCCAAAGGCCUGCUCCAAAAUUUAAUUAAACUUUGAGCCUGAAUGCAAAUGGGCCCAGACAUGAACCAGAGGGCAAUUGGAUCUAAAUCAGAUGUUGGAAUUGGCUCAGACUUGAACCAGAAGCUGGAUCAGACCUGAAUCAGAGGUUGAAUCAGGUCUGAACCAGAAGCUGAAUCUGACCUGAACUCAUAAUUGAAUCAAAUUUGAGCCAGAAAAUUGAUUAGACUCAAACCAAAAAUUGGGUCAAACCUGAACCAGAAAACUGGUUAGACCCGAACCAAAAAUUGUGUGAGACCCGAACCAGCAGAUGAACCAGAGCUGACCAGAAAUUGAAUCAAAUCCAGACUAGAAAGUAGAUUAGACCUGGCCCAGAAAUUAAAUUGGGUCAUGGGCCUGAACCAAAAAUUAAAUCAGGCUAUGAAUCCGAAAAUAAAUUUGAGUCUUAUGGAUGGGCUGUAAAUGACUUUAAGAUUAUAAAUAAAUAGAAAUUAAAUAUGCACGUGAUAUGUAAUUUAAAUGAUCUUGCUAGGUAUUGGAGAAUUGGCAUCUAAGCCUAAGAUUUGGUGAGCAAAUUAAGGUAAAUGACCCUGACACAAUCUUAUUGUUUUCAAAUACAUGAAAUUAUUUGGAUAUAAAAAUGCAUACUAUGUAAAAUUCUCAAAAAUUAGGAUCAAGUAUAUGUUAGCAAAUGUUGCAUGAUUUUGGAUAAAUAGCAUCCAUCAUGAUUAUUAUUAUAUAAUGUACACAUGAUUUAUGAUGAUGUAGAAAGAUGCAUAGAAAAAUAAAGUUUGUAGCAUGAUCAUGAAUUUUUGCAUAUUAUGAUGCUAUUAUUCAAUUUUCCAAUGUACUUAUGAAAUAAAGUUUAUGAAAAGCAUGAUAUGUUUUGUGAACUUUCAGAUUGCUAUGUAUGACCCCCGCCAGUGGAUAACAGUAACUCGGCAUAUGACUCCCGCCAGUAGGUAACAGUAACUCGGCAUAUGACUCCCGCUAGUGGGUAACAGUAACUCGGCAUAUGACUCCCACUAGUGGGUAACAGUAACUCGGCAUAUGACCCCCGCCAGUGGAUAAUAGUAACUCGACAUACGACCCCCGCUAGUGGGUAAUAAUAACUCGGCAUACGACCCUCGCCAGUGGAUAACAGUAACUUGGUAUAGACCCUACCAACGGAGAAGAAUAAUUGGUUAUGACCCCUGCCAGUGGGUAAUAAUAACUCGGCAUAUGACCCCCGCUAGUGGGUAAUAAUAACUUGUUAUAGACCCUGCCAACGGAGAAUAAUAGUUAGUAAAGAUCUUGCUGUGAGAAUAAGAGCGGCCAUAGCUGCACUAUCAUCUGAGAGUACAGAUUGCAAAGCAUGAAUAAUGGCAAGUACGAAUUUCAAAGCAUGAAUAAUAGCAAGAAUGUUUUAUGAUGCAUAUUCAUAUUUAUGAACUUGCAUGAUUGGGCAUCCAUUGUUUUAUGUAUGGUUUGAAUAUAUAUUAUGUGGAAUGAUUAUUUUGCUAUAGCUGCUAAUUUUUUAAAUUAAUGCAUUGGCAUGAAGUAUACUAUGCUUGAUCUAGUAAGAUUGUACAUGGUUACUUAGUGAGACAUAUAGCUCACACACUUUAUUCAUGUUUUUUUACAGAUAAUUAAGAUUGCUAGGAUCAAGGAGCUUGACAAACUUUAGGGUUUGGAAAAAUAAAAAUAGAAUAUCAAAUGUUAAAAUUUUAGAAGCUUUGUACCGUUCUAUUUAUGAAAUUUGUUAUGACAUUUUAUAAAUAAAUUGUUCAUUUCUAUUAUGAAAGUUUAGGUAGCUUUGUGUUAUUGUAUGUAUAUGUUUGCAAUAGCACGGCCGUGUCACAAUCCGGAUUUGAGGCGUGACAAAGUUAAUUUACGAGGAUAGUGUUUGAACUGGUCCUGGCACCAUGAGUGCCGAUGCUAGUUCAAAAUAUAACUGAAAUAUUACGUAUUAGGUCUCAAAAAUAUAUUUUGUAAACAGUAGGAAACCUUAGUUAAUUUAGUUUUGUUUUAGGUCCCUCCCGUAUGUGUACUAUAUGUGUGUAUCUUAAUAUCUUGUCCAAAUAGGUACAUGACAAUAACUCAUCUAUAUAAGCCGUCAAGAUAAAUUUUAACAUGCUGGCCAAACUUAAUGGACUGGUGUUAUUGAGACUAAAUUUAAUUAUUGUUAGAUUCAGCAACAAAGCAGCUGAACCACUUGGUUUUUUUUUUUUUUUGACAAAAGAACUAUUUCAUUGAAAUUGGCUUUUUUUUCAUUUGACUCUUGCUUGUUGCAAACGUAAGGCAAUCUACUAUAUUUUCCAAUAGGACUAAUUGCCCCUCUCUUGAAGGGGCUGGCUAUUUAGCCUUGAAUGGAGGACAAAGCAGCUAUUGAUUUCUAUUCAUAGGAAGUUUCNNN